ensembl:lncRNA novel transcript
GUGACGUAAGCCGCAGAAUCCUCUGUCUUAGUUCGGCUCUAUUGCCGCGAGCUUGACUCUUCCUGGGUCUGAGGAAAAGUAAAAGUAAUUUUGUCAUUUCCUGAAACUUCAAGUUAAACCUUUAAGCUGUUCAUUUCCUAAAAGGGUGAAAACGCGGGCACCCCUCGAGCUAGUUCAUCGCCUUUUAACCUGUUGUUGGAUCUUUCCAGAUCACCACACCACAUCACCCAGCCACUCUGCCCAAUGGGAGGGCAGACAGUGUUCCAGUGUAGGAGGAAGGGGUGUAAGGUGCGGGCAGUUUGUGAGGAGGGCACCAACGAGAGCUACUGUGAGAAAGUCUGCAUGGUCAAAAAGUGGAUUACCAAGAACAAAGCAUCAUAAUGUUGUCCAGUGGACCCCAGAAAACUGACAACUGUUUAGAACAAAGCCAAAGAUGAAACCAAAUAUAAAACCACUGAUGAAAACUAAGUGAAAAAUAUAAGCAAAAUAGAAGAAAAAUAAGGUCGUUAUUUCAAGAAAACGAAAGACAGUCAAUGCUGUUCUUUGUAUUCACAUACAAUUUGGUUCACACCAAAAUGUGAGUUGUUCUCUAUGAGAUGUUAUUAAAUGUUCCUAAGAAGACUCGCUUUAGAAAAAAACAGUAUUCCUAAGGCAUGUCCAAUCUGUCUCUUUUCUUAAUUGCUAUAGUUCUACUUUAUUAUUAUAAUGUAUUCAGCAUUAAAAUUCAUUAUUUCCCAAUAAGCUUGACUUUAUCUUAUAAUGAAAUACAACUGUCUUCUUGGUGAUUUUUAUAGGAGAUAUUAUGGAAAUAUUUUAUUAACAGAAGUAAAUAAAGUGUCAUAUCAUUUGGCUUUUCAGCCGUGUUAUAACAUUUGCAUUUUGUUUUUUCUGCCUUUACCCUCCCUGCUUCUAGCUGCAUAAAAUAAUGCAUUUUAAAAAUAAAAAUACAUUAUUUUUCAACAUAUGUGUGACAAUAAAAAGAUCACUGGGUCAGGGGUCAGACGAUCUGAGUUCUGCCCUUUCAUUUUCUUAUCUGUAAAAAUGAUUCCUAAGAUUCCUUCUAUUACUAACAUUUUAUAAUCUACAUUCAAAUUUUAUGUGAAAGUUUAGUGCAUCCGAGAUAACUAUUUUCAAAUAAGAAUCUCUUUUGAUGCUAACAUCUAUGCAUCAAAUUCUUCAUUCUCAAGUUGUAAGUUGCUCUUUACAUAAUUUCACCUAUGUACAUAUAUUCUAUAGAAAAAAGAGACAUUCCAGUAUCUUAACAAUGUCAAAAAGGAUAUACUGACACUAACAUUAACUGGAGAUUGGAAGACUAGACAAAUCAAGGCUAGAACUACAUAAGGGAAGCUAUUCUCCCAAAUACGCUGUUUUUGCUGUUGUUUAACCAAAGAUAUCUUCCCUUUCAUUCUUCUUUUUUAAAGCUAAGGAUAUUUAAGACAUUAAUAUGUUUGGCUAACUGAUUAAUAAUUCCUUCUUUUAUAAGGAAACUAUCCUAAAAUAUAAAAAACCGAGGUUAAAGUUAUUAAUGAAAUAUGUAUGUAUUGCUGUUAUCUACAUAUCAACUCUGGCCAAAGAAUAAUUCAAUAAAAAUGAUUAUAAGCCCAUAUCCCAGAAGCUCAUUAAAGAGCCUGAUGAACACAAAUUAUACAAACCUGCUGAAAUAGAAACAUGAUCUGGAUCCAUGGCUGAGGUUCUUGGCUGAUGAGAAUAAAACUGGACUUACUGUAUAGGCAGUAAUGACCCUUCAGGGAGCAGGUGAAGAACAACUUUGCUACACAACUUCUCACAGUGUCUAGAAACAAAUACAUAUAGCGUUAAACGUUAUGGUCUUUCCAGAGUUACACUUUAUAUUGAUACUUCAACACACAAAUGCCUUUAUAAAAUAUCCUUCAGUUUUCAAACUGUGAGCUAAUAACUACAAACAACUAUAUAUUUGAGAGGGGAUCCAUUUCAUGGAAAGUAGAUUUAAAUAAAGAUUUUAAAUUAUUAUUAUUAUUGUUUUAAUUAACAAUGUUUGAAGACUCAGCAACUCCCAUGGGGGGAAAACCCUCUCACCAAUAAAAUGGGAGAUACUAUAUCAUUUUCAUCUGAUGGGAUACCUUGAAGUGAUAACCUGGGAAAAAUAAACAAAUGGAUUAAGAAAACCCAGGCAUUUUCUGGGUAGUAAAUGACUUGCCAUGAACCAUGGAUGCUGUUCUCUUGGUUGUGCAGGGGCCUCAGAGAUAGCUUCCAAAAUAACUCUGGCUGAGGUGUAGCUUCCUGUGAACUGUACUGGUCGGGUUUGAAAAGGUCAUCUCGCCUUGAAGGAUUUCAGCUGGGAGUCUUAAUGAGAUUAUCCUUUAGGGACAAGGAAGUAGUGGGUGAGUGGUGUAGAGGUGGUGAGGCACCAUGUGUAGAGAAAGAAAUAAUGAAUAAAUGAAUGAAUGAAGCAAAUAUGGGUUGAGAUUCUAUGGGCUAGGCACUGUGUUAAGUACUG